GGAAGGGKUGUAUUUAUUAGAUUAAAAACCAAWGCCCUUCGGGGCUUCCUGGUGAUUCAUAAUAACUUCYMGAAUCGCACGGCCCUUGCGCCGGCGAUGGUUCAUUCAAAUUUCUGCCCUAUCAACUUUCGACGGCUGGGUCUUGGCCAGCCGUGGUGACAACGGGUAACGGAGGGUUAGGGCUCGACCCCGGAGAAGGAGCCUGAGAAACGGCUACUACAUCCAAGGAAGGCAGCAGGCGCGCAAAUUACCCAAUCCCGACACGGGGAGGUAGUGACAAUUAAUACUGAUACAGGGCUCUUUUGGGUCUUGUAAUUGGAAUGAGUACAAUUUAAAUCCCUUAACGAGGAACAAUUGGAGGGCAAGUCUGGUGCCAGCAGCCGCGGUAAUUCCAGCUCCAAUAGCGUAUAUUAAAGUUGUUGAGGUUAAAAAGCUCGUAGUUGAACCUUGGGCCUAGCCGACCGGUCCGCCUCACCGCGUGCACUGGUUCGGUUGGGUCUUUCCUUCUGGAGAACCUCAUGCCCUUUACUGGGUGUGUUGGGGAACCAGGACUUUUAC
rnacentral:rRNA from 1 species